GGUUGACCUCGGAUCAGGUAGGAAUACCCGCUGAACUUAAGCAUAUCAAUAAAAGCGGAGGA
rnacentral:rRNA from 1 species